UUUGGUGAAUCGAUUAAUAAAUGAUUGAUAGUGCUCCACCGAGGGUGCUGUAUGUAAUUUAGAUUCCACCUCCAUCACUGUAAAGUUUUCUGCUCCAACUUAGGUGGAGAUAAAUGCCUUAUAUCGAUUUAACUCACAUCAUCGGAAAUGGUCUGUAAUUCUCUCUGAUGAAAAUGCCAAUAUGAAAUGUAUCAUAGUUUUUCCUCUACAAAAGUCCCUGUUAAGUUUUGCAUGAAGACUGCUAUUAGAAUCAAGCAAGUAUAACUUGCUCUUGUGAUGUUUUUGGCGUGGAAUAUUAAAUUAUCUAGAAUCAAGAAAGGUACUUAUUUAUUUAUCAAGUUAGAUUAUGUGUCCAUUACACGAGGUAAAAAUCAGAAACUUUUAUCUGUGCUAGAAAAUACUAGUUAGUUUAUAGUUCUGUGAGUGAAUGCAUGAAUCAUGAAUGAAAGAAAUUUUCCCUGCUGCUGUUGGUGGAUAUUAUACGUUUAUCCCUUUAGAAACUCUAUGGAUUUAAUUCUCGUCGCAUAUCUUUCCGUGCUGUUGAAUGAUAAAUUGGAGAAAUGGAUUCUAUAAGUUUCUGUACGAGUUUACCUUAAUUAUUUCUCAUGUGCAUGAUGGCUUUUUGCUGUCGAUGUUUAUUUGAUAAAAGUAAGUAAACCUGAAACCUUUUCUUUGGAUGGAUGGUGAUCAAAUAUGGGAAUUGGCAUGACCUGAACAUAUGCUUACUAGAUAUGCUUGUUCUGUAUAUGAAUAAAGCCUACCUUUUUGUUUUUUUUGCCGG
rnacentral:lncRNA from 1 species